CCGUUUUUUAUACCUCGUUUUGCUUGUUUGGGUAGCACUCCUCACAUGCCGUUUGGUGUAUGCUUUUUGUUGUUGCUGAGAUGAAACUGCCCAAACUCUGAAAGGCAGGUAUCUGGCUCCAUAGCGGCGGCAAGCACAAACAAUUGUGCAAACGCCAUGAUACCAAAGAAGAAGUAGUAGUAAGUACCCGGAUGGAGCUGUCAUGGCCGCCGUCGCUGAGCUGCAAGGCUGAAGAGAAAAGGAAGCUUGCGGAGCCCAUCCCCACAUCACCAACCCUGAGGAAGAAGACAGAACAUUCAUGUUAAGGCUUCCUUGGAAGGGGCCCAGUCACACACAGGUGACUCAUACAUCUUUACUUUUCCAGGAUUUUCAUGACUGUACAAACCUUGUUUGCUGACCCAAGACUUGCUAUAACUGGGUAAAUAACUCAAUAACUAGCAAGGAAUAUCAGCACUUUGAUCUCAAAAGGUUUUAAUCUUGGGACCGCAAGUGAUUGACAGAUCGCCUUUCAAUGCAAUAUAAUUGUAUUCUGAUUCGAUCUGCAGAAAUCAGUUGAUUUUAAAAAGCAAUGUACACUUAAAUGUAUAUUCUGCUUGUCUGAUAUAUUUUUUGACUUGCCCCAGUGUUAAUGUCGAAACCUGUUCCGUUGAAGGCUACUAUCAACUAUUAAUAAAAGUUGCUCUAAUGCAUCAGCCACAA